GACGAACGCUGGCGGCGUGUCUAAUACAUGCAAGUUGAGCGAUGAAGAUUGGUGCUUGCACCAAUUUGAAGAGCAGCGAACGGGUGAGUAACGCGUGGGGAAUCUGCCUUUGAGCGGGGGACAACAUUUGGAAACGAAUGCUAAUACCGCAUAACAACUUUAAACAUAAGUUUUAAGUUUGAAAGAUGCAAUUGCAUCACUCAAAGAUGAUCCCGCGUUGUAUUAGCUAGUUGGUGAGGUAAAGGCUCACCAAGGCGAUGAUACAUAGCCGACCUGAGAGGGUGAUCGGCCACAUUGGGACUGAGACACGGCCCAAACUCCUACGGGAGGCAGCAGUAGGGAAUCUUCGGCAAUGGACGAAAGUCUGACCGAGCAACGCCGCGUGAGUGAAGAAGGUUUUCGGAUCGUAAAACUCUGUUGGUAGAGAAGAACGUUGGUGAGAGUGGAAAGCUCAUCAAGUGACGGUAACUACCCAGAAAGGGACGGCUAACUACGUG
rnacentral:rRNA from 1 species